rnacentral:rRNA from 1 species
CCUACGGUGAGCAGCAGUGGGGAAUAUUGCACAAUGGGGGAAACCCUGAUGCAGCAACGCCGCGUGAGUGAGGAAGGAUGGCGGGAUGUAAAGCUCUAGCAGCAGGGAAGAGAAAAGAAGGAACAGGAAAAAGAAGCACCGGCGAACUACGUGCCAGCAGCCGCGGUAAUACGGAGGGGGCAAGCGUUAUCCGGAUUUACUGGGUGUAAAGGGAGCGUAGACGGAAAGGCAAGUCAGAAGUGAAAGCCCAAGGCUCAACCAUUGGACUGCUUUUGAAACUGUCAAACUAGAGUACGGGAGAGGUAAGAGGAAUUCCUAGUGUAGCGGUGAAAUGCGUAGAUAUUAGGAGGAACACCAGUGGCGAAGGCGUCUUACUGGACCUCAACUGACGUUGAGGCUCGAAAGCGUGGGGAGCAAACAGGAUUAGAUACCCGGGUAGUC